AAUAUAUAUAUAGUCUCAUGUAAAAUUUCUAAGAUAUGAACUUCAUAAAAAUAUUUUUUUCAAUUAUAAUAAAUUAAUUAUUUUAAUCAAAUCAAAGUUCUUCAACAAUAGUUUUAUAAAUGUAAUUAGAAACUCAGAAUAGCAUAAACCAACAAAAUUAACGGUUAUAAAUGUAAAGCCUACUCACAAAUUGGUCCCAAGGGACCGAAGAAACCAAACCAGAGUGCCAAGGAAGGUUGAAGUAGAACGGAAUGAAAGAGCACGAAAUUUGGACCGAGGUAGUAGCAACAACUUCGAUUUCUCACUGCAGCAACCUCAACAACAGCCCUAGUAUCAAUAACAUAGAGCAACCCCAAUAACAAUGGUAGCGAAUCUAAUAGCCUACGGUGGUUUAAAACUAAGCAAAGAUAAAAGGGACAGCAAACAUGAUAGGAUAGAGUCAAUAAUAGAGCUUUAUGGCAAGACAAGGUAGAACAAGUUUAGUCUUACCAAAGGAAAUAAGAGGAUGGAGCAUCAGCAGCUCCGGUGACCCCCCACCGGCAAGGACAGAACAGGCAGAAGCAAAGCUGAGCUAGGGCAAACUUGCAGAGGUUCCAACAGCGGCUUCCGGCGACGUCAGCGCGAUCCCCGGUGACCAGAGGCACGGUGGCGCAGCUUGCGACAACGGCGGAGGCGUACCAGCUCCCCCUCCUCGCGAGACUCUCCUCUCUCUAGCCAUUGUGUUUCUCUCUCUCUGAGAGCUCCUCUCUCUCUCUUCGAAGCCCCAUACCUGCAGCCGCGACAGCAACAACGAAGCUCCCCUUCCAGCGGUAGGGACGGUCUCCAGGGACAGCACCUCCUCUCUCGCGCAUCUUCCUUUCUCCUUCCCCCAUUCCCUGUUUCGAACUCCUUCUCCCUCUCCCUACCUGAUCCGCAGCAACGACGGCGACGUCCAGCCUCACCGGUGUCACCCCCUUCUCCCCCUCUUCUUCCUUUCUUCUCCCUCUCUGUUUUCUCUCGCUAUUUUUCUUUCUUUCAUUCUCAGCAGGGUAUGUGUGUGUGUGUGUGUGUGUUAGGAGAGGGUUAGGGUUUAGAAAAGGGGUAAAGGGGUAAAGGGUAGUUUAGGUAUUUUGAUAAAAUUAAAGGGUAUAUGUAAAAUGUUUCAAAAUAUCUUGAGAUGUUACAUUAUUUGUCUUUAUGCUGAUGACAGUAGCGAAAAGAUUAAUAACUAUGUUUCACCUUAAAAAACUCAGAAAAAUAGUAUUAGUUAUUGUGUCACUUUCAAAAAAUAAAAAGGAAUAGUAUUUAUGAUUCUAUUAGGUUAAUGGCUCAAUCGUAACUUGCUACAUACCUUUUUUUAAAGGUAAGAACAAGAUAAAAGCAUAACAUACAAAUUAGUAGGCUAGUGAAAAAACUCUUUGGUAUCCUUACUAUUUUUCUGUUACAGUCAAAUUACUGAAUUAUUUCUCAUCAAUUUAUUCAAUAAUUUAUUUUUCUUAAAAUCAAUUCAUUUUUAUUUCUUUUUCCCCUAUUAUGUGAAAUGAAGAUUAUUUCGAACAAUAUUUUUAACUUCAUUCAUUUUCUAAUUGAAAAUAUCAAAUGUAUUUUUUUUCAAAUAUAUAAUUUUUAAAUGUAACUAAGAUAACAAAAUAUAUAUAAAAAUAAAAAAUCAAACAGUACCAAAUCAUACUUGAUUCCAGCAUAAUUCUUUUAUACCUCCCCA